rnacentral:rRNA from 1 species
GUAGGGAAUCUUCCGCAAUGGACGAAAGUCUGACGGAGCAACGCCGCGUGAGUGAAGAAGGUUUUCGGAUCGUAAAGCUCUGUUGUUAAGGAAGAACACCAUGGAUAGGAAAUGAUCGAUGGAUGACGGUACUUAACCAGAAAGCCACGGCUAACUACGUGCCAGCAGCCGCGGUAAUACGUAGGUGGCAAGCGUUAUCCGGAAUUAUUGGGCGUAAAGCGCGCGUAGGCGGUUUCUUAAGUCUGAUGUGAAAGCCCCCGGCUCAACCGGGGAGGGUCAUUGGAAACUGGGGAACUUGAGUACAGAAGAGGAGAGUGGAAUUCCAUGUGUAGCGGUGAAAUGCGCAGAGAUAUGGAGGAACACCAGUGGCGAAGGCGGCUCUCUGGUCUGAAACUGACGCUGAGGUGCGAAAGCGUGGGGAUCAAACAGGAUUAGAUACCCGAGUAGUCC